CAGGUGGUCAGGUAGAGAAUACUCAGGCGCUUGAGAGAACUCGGGUGAAGGAACUAGGCAAAAUGGUGCCGUAACUUCGGGAGAAGGCACGCUGGCGCUAGGUGAAGUGGUUUACCCAUGGAGCUGAAGCCAGUCGCAGAUACCAGCUGGCUGCAACUGUUUAUUAAAAACACAGCACUGUGCAAACACGAAAGUGGACGUAUACGGUGUGACGCCUGCCCGGUGCUGGAAGGUUAAUUGAUGGGGUUAUCCGUAAGGAGAAGCUCUUGAUCGAAGCCCCAGUAAACGGCGGCCGUAACUAUAACGGUCCUAAGGUAGCGAAAUUCCUUGUCGGGUAAGUUCCGACCUGCACGAAUGGCGUAAUGAUGGCCAGGCUGUCUCCACCCGAGACUCAGUGAAAUUGAACUCGCUGUGAAGAUGCAGUGUACCCGCGGCAAGACGGAAAGACCCCGUGAACCUUUACUAUAGCUUGACACUGAACAUUGAGCCUUGAUGUGUAGGAUAGGUGGGAGGCUUUGAAGUGUGGACGCCAGUCUGCAUGGAGCCAACCUUGAAAUACCACCCUUUAAUGUUUGAUGUUCUAACGUUGCCCCGUUAUCCGGGGUGCGGACAGUGUCUGGUGGGUAGUUUGACUGGGGCGGUCUCCUCCCAAAGAGUAACGGAGGAGCACGAAGGUUGGCUAAGCAUGGUCGGACAUCAUGCGGUUAGUGCAAAGGCAUAAGCCAGCU
rnacentral:rRNA from 1 species